CGGGCCGCGGGGGGAGCCCAGCCCCAGGGGAGCCCCUCCGGGGAGCCCCCGUCCUUCAGCAGCCCCCGGCGGAGCAGGGCCUCGCGGAUCCGGAGGGCGGCCGCAGGGAAGGGGUCGGAUGCAGGACGCGGCUGCGGGACGCGCACGCGGCCGCUCGGCUCUGCGAAGCCCCCCGACACGCUCCUCGCGGUGACUGGUGGGGUGACACGAUGAGCCCGGCUCAUUCCCCGCUGCCGCGAUGAGCCGGGUGCCCGGGUGACGCGUCCCUGGGGGCUGGGGACGUGCUUCAGGUGCACCCCCAGCGCCCGCGUUCCCGCUUUUCCAGCGUACAGGCGCGCCGCAAAGCCGUGGCUGCCGGGGGUUAUCGGGGAAGUGGAAUCGCUGAAGCUAUUUGAUGAAUGGAAGUGGUUAGUGUGUGGCGAUAACUGGGCUGAAAAAGGUCGAACCUCGGGCCUGCUCGCAAGGGCACAGGUCUUGCUGCCCUAGGGUCUGUAUGUUUUAAGAAACGAGAAACAGCAGAGACUUCUUUAAAACCUUGUUUUGUUUGUUUUUUGCUCCAUGUAGAUCUGCAGGUCCAGACCUUGGCGCUAGCCUCCCCCUCCAGCUCGAUCCUCCUUCCCUGCUUUCUCARCCUUCCUUUAUCCUCUCGGCCAACCCUUGCAUCACCAGCGCCGGGACCAGCACGAGCUACAGCAUGGUCCCRUCUCCGCCCUCCUGCCCCAAGGCGUUGAUCCCCGUUCCCCCCGGCGCUGUCAGCUCCACGACGAGCGUCGCGUCUGCCAGAGAAGACCAGACGCCCUCUACCUCCACCAGUCGCUCUUCGGCGUUCGCUGCCUUCCAUGUGAGAAGCGCGCCCGCUCCCUCAAAGCAGACCGGCCAAAGGCUCCUUGUUCCUGAGGUCUCCGACAGCGCCGUUCCCGGAGGGGCGGUGGGACGGAGCAGCAGUACUGCUAGCAGUAUCGGCAUCGGCCUCGCCCUCUUUGGCGUAGGGCUCGUUGACAAAGCGUUGUUUCAGAGUUUAAUGGAAGAGAAUAGUUGCUGUUUGCUUUACAUCGUGGAAAAUCAGCUGCAGGAGGUGGAACGUGCCUUCAGCGCGGAAUUUUUGGCCAAUACCAGGGUGCUGCGGCAACAGGAUGCUGACGUUGUGCUCAGUGAUCAACGGGUCUCUGGAGCCAUUAUUUCUUCACCACCUGGAGAAGCUUCUGAGAUUGUAAUAGAUGCUUUACGAGCUGGGAAAGGUGUAUUUUGCGAGAGGCUACCCAGUUUAGACAGGCAGACAGCAGAAGCUUGUUUUGAUGAAGCUGACAGAUGUGGAAGACCAUUGGUUUGUGGAUUCUACAAACUUCUUUGUGAAACUUCUGGCCCCGUGUAUUGUGCUUUUCCUGGAUCAGAGGGUCUUGUAUCCUUUUUUCCCUCUGUUGGACAGCUUUGCUGCMGCGUUUUGACCCAGCGCUGCAGUUCUUGUAUAAAAAAGUCCGUGACAGCCAGGCAUUGGGGAGGAUUCACCGGAUAUCGGCRACCAGCAGCAUAUAUCCAGCGGCUUCUCUUAGCUUCCUAA
ensembl:lncRNA